GCCGGGCAUGGUGGCGCAUGCCUGUAAUCCCAGCACUUUGGGAGGCCGAGGCAGGCGGAUCACCUGAGGUCAGGAGUUCAAGACCAGCCUGGCCAAUAUGGUGAAACCCUGUCUCUA
rfam:Homo sapiens chromosome 17, GRCh38 reference primary assembly.